GAUGAACGCUGGCGGCGUGCUUAACACAUGCAAGUCGAACGGGAAUUACUUUAUUGAAACUUCGGUGGAUUUAAUUUAAUUCUAGUGGCGGACGGGUGAGUAACGCGUGGGUAACCUGCCUUAUACAGGGGGAUAACAGUCAGAAAUGGCUGCUAAUACCGCAUAAGCGCACAGAGCUGCAUGGCUCAGCGUGAAAAACUCCGGUGGUAUAAGAUGGACCCGCGUUGGAUUAGCUGGUUGGUGGGGUAACGGCCCACCAAGGCGACGAUCCAUAGCCGGCCUGAGAGGGUGAACGGCCACAUUGGGACUGAGACACGGCCCAGACUCCUACGGGAGGCAGCAGUGGGGAAUAUUGCACAAUGGGGGAAACCCUGAUGCAGCGACGCCGCGUGAAGGAAGAAGUAUCUCGGUAUGUAAACUUCUAUCAGCAGGGAAGAUAGUGACGG
rnacentral:rRNA from 1 species